ACUAGAGUUUUGCUCCUGGGACGGGACGUCCGAGAGGUCUGCUGGAGUUUGCUGGAGGUCCACUCCAGACCCUGUUUGCCUGGGUGUCACUAGCGGACACUGCAAAACAACAAAGAUUGCUGCCUGUUCCUUCCUCUGGAAGCUUUGUCCCAGAGGGGCACUCACUAGAUGCCAGGCAGAGUUCUCCUGUAUGAGCUUUUGGUUCCAGAGGGCCAUAGUCUUCAUAUACUUCAGCACUCCAUGAAGGCUUUCUUGGUACUGUUCAAAGGCCAGAGGAUCUACUACCACAGAACCAUUCUAGAUGUGAGUUCCUAGUGUGAAAGGACUGGGAGUUAACAGAAGAGCCGCAGUGAG
rnacentral:antisense_RNA from 1 species